rnacentral:lncRNA from 1 species
AAAAUAGGAGAGGAAGAGAAGAAUAAGAGGAAAAAAGAAAAUAAUAAGAAUAAGAAUAAGAAGAAGANNNNNNAGAAGAAGAAGAGAAGAAGAAAACAAGAAGAAGCAGAAGAAGAAUAAGAGGAAAAAAGAAAAUAAGAAAAUAAGAAUAAGAAGAAGAAGAAUAAGAAGAAGAAGAACAAUAAGAAGAAGAAGAAGAAGAAGAAGAAGA